AAUCAAUGACUCUUCUUUACUAUCCUCAACUUAUUCCCUAAUCCAAUCAAAUAAUCAGAAGAUAAAAAAAUCAAAAUAAGAAAAAGUUUAGGAUAGUAAACUUGAGCCCUUGAUUAAUCGAAUUCAAUCGCAAAAAUUAAAACAAAGAAACACGCAUUGCCAAUCACUCCCUUGACAAUGUGUGUAUCUUUGUUUUAAUCCAGACCAUUAAAUUUGAAUAAUCAAUGAAUCUUUUUUACUAUCCUCAACUUAUUCUCUCAUCAAAUCAAAUAAUCAUAAAAAAAUAAAAAAUAAAAAUAUAAGAAAGUUGAGGAUAGUAAACUUGAGCUCUUGAUUAAUCGGAAUCAAUGGCCAUGAUUAAAACAAAGAGUCACACAUUGUCAAACACCCUCUUGACAAUUUGUGUUUCUUUGUUUUAAUCAUGAUUAUUGAAUUUUAAUCAAAGGCUCUUGUUUACUAUCUUAAACUUAUUCUCCCAUCCAAUCAAUAAUCAGAAAAUAAAAAAAUCUAAAUAAGAAAAAGUUU
rnacentral:lncRNA from 1 species